UACGUAGGGACCAAGCGUUGUUCGGAUUUACUGGGCGUAAAGGGCGCGUAGGCGGCUUAACAAGUCACUUGUGAAAUCUGGGGCUUAACUCGGAACGGCCAAGUGAAACUGUCAAGCUAGAGUGCAGAAGGGGCAAUCGGAAUUCUUGGUGUAGCGGUGAAAUGCGUAGAUAUCAAGAGGAACACCUGAGGUGAAGACGGGUUGCUGGGCUGACACUGACGCUGAGGCGCGAAAGCCAGGGGAGCAAACGGG
rnacentral:rRNA from 1 species